GCGAACUGAUAACCCCAAGAGUGGAAUGAAGGGGUAACGCCCUGAAACGCUCUCCCUGAUACUCCGACGGGCGUAUGUACAGGAAACUGGAUAUGUCUGAAGCUCGGUGAAGUCGGCUGAGAGCUGCCGUAAAGCAGAGUAAUCUGCUACGAAAGCUAUCCAGAGGUGGAUGGUGCAACCUACAGGCCGGGGGUCUAUAAA
rfam:Termite gut metagenome tgut2b_Contig34721, whole genome shotgun sequence.